GAGUACAUUGGGCCGGGAUUUAGCUCAGUGACACUGCGCCUGCCUCGAGAGCGCAAGGUCCUGAGUUCAAUCCCCAGUACCAAAACAAAAAGAAAAAACUUAAAGUUCAUCAAACUCUAGCACCACACACAGGUUUUCUACUCUUCCAUUGUUGUUUCUAAGGAGCCCACAGAUUUAUUCCAGUGUGAAAGGGAAGGGGGCCACAGGGUCUUCUUAUCAGAGCAGGAGGCUCAGCUUAUGGACCCUAGCACAUGACCUCACUUCCUUGGCAACAGGUCCAAAGAGAACUCGGAACAGUCUAGCAACGGCCGCCUAACAGUCACUUGGCUGGAGAGAGUCAGCAGCGAACAUGCUGUGCUGCUUUCCCAGGCCUCCAGGCCGCAGCCUCAGGACCCAGCCCAGGGAAAGCACUUGGGAGCGAGGGAGAAGAUGGAUCACUGGGUCCAGACGCUCCAGGCCACCGGCCAGGAACCUUCCUGCCCUCAUGGGCAGCCCAGGGCAGGUCUCACCAGACCCAACGACCACUGGCCCUGAGAUGAGAGGGAGCCCAGGGCAGGUCUCCCUGGGCCUGGCCACCACACACUCGGAGCCACUGAGUCCAGGACAGGACCAUUUAGGAUUGGCCACCUCUGGCUUGGUAAACAGGGGGCCAGGGUCCUGGUGCCGAAGGAAUCCAUUUGUAGAGCUCGUGCCAGCUCCACCUGCAGCUGCCUCCCCAGCUCUGACACCACAGCCAGAGGCAGCGCCAGGAACCCCUUCUCCACCAGCUGCACAGCUGGGGAUCCUGGUGGUUGCACGGCGGGCAUCAGCUCCUGAGCUCCAGAAGGGGCAAGCUCCUGCCCCACCCCUGCCAUUCCCCUCCAUUACUCUUGGUCAUGUUUUGGCAUAUAUUUUUGCUCUUAUUUUCUGGAUUUAUGUAAAUAAUAGAAUUAUUUUUUAAAUAAAAGAUUUUGGUUUUGUUCUAAAUAAUCAGCUUGGUGGCAUGAAGUGCCUUCUCAGUGCUGUGCCCCUGUCACCACUGUCCAGUUCCA
rnacentral:lncRNA from 1 species